UGCUCUCCAGGAUUCCUGGACGCUGGCUUCAUCAAUGUCGUUGGUGGUAUGGUUGCUUCUCACCAAGUUAUCCCCGCUGUUUCCAGCCAGGGGUUGAAUCCCACCACCUCAGUCCCCACCCUGGAGUGAAACCAUCUUCAGAAAAGCCCUGCAGGCGCUUGUCAGAGGCACAUGUGCCUCCAGGGGCUCCGGGCGGCCUGCUCAGCCCCAGCGACCCUGCUCCCGCCAGCCCUCAGGCAGGCCACUCACAGCCCGACGUCUCCACACAGCCCCCUGCUCGGCAAAGCCUCUCCCUGUCAGGUCCGGUCACAACCCGAUAAAGAACUCCAUCAGAGGGAAGAGCCGGUGGACAGGGGCUCUGACAAGCCGAGCCAGGUGUUGGCGAGUCCUGACUGCCAGCCACGUGUGGCUACCGGUGACCCCCUGCAGGCCGCCCCUCUGGUCACUGCGUGAGUUUUAAUCCAUACCACAGACUCACCAAAGGCACUAAGAGAUACAGCCUGUAGCUCACGUUUUCGAGGGGAAGAGGCCGGAGAGUAAGAGGUAUUGAAUACCCACCCAAGGCCAGGCCUGGGCUGGGAGCCCUACUUAAGUUACCUGAUCGGUUGCGACCGCCAUCAUUACGGGGAGGUAUUGCUGUCCCCAUCUCGCAGACAAGGAAACGCAAGCUCUGAGGAUCAAAUGUCCUGCCCAGAAUAAUCCAAUGAAAUAACAAUAGUUGACACUUCUUGAACAUACGACAUACCAACACCUGUGCAUACCUCACUCAAGAGAAAUUAGUAACUAUUCACAUUAACUGAAAACAGAACGCACCCCACGAAGAUGGGAACGGGUUGCCGAAGACCUUGACGGAGAUCCGAAACGGUG